rfam:Ascaris lumbricoides genome assembly, scaffold: ALTE_scaffold0002018
GCCCGGGUGAUCCUCGGUGGUCCGGGGUGCAGGCUUCAAACCUGCGGCCGUUUAGCGACGGAGUGGUUCGAUUCCACCUCCUGGGU